rnacentral:rRNA from 1 species
AGAGCGAACGCUGGCGGCGUGCUUAACACAUGCAAGUCGAACGCGCAGCAUUCUGUAGCAAUACAGGGUGUGGGCGCGUGGCGAACGGGUGCGUAACACGUGGAUAACCUUCCUUCAGGUGGGGAAUAACCCAGUGAAAAUUGGGCUAAUACCGCAUAACAUGACGAUGGCACAUGCCGUUGUCUUCAAAGCCGCAAGGCGCCAGAAGAGGGAUCCGCGGCCGAUUAGCUUGUUGGCGAGGUAAUGGCUCACCAAGGCAUUGAUCGGUAGCCGGACUGAGAGGUUGGCCGGCCACACUGGAACUGAGACACGGUCCAGACUCCUACGGGAGGCAGCAGUGGGGAAUCUUGCACAAUGGACGAAAGUCUGAUGCAGCAACGUCGCGUGGGGGAUGAAGCUUCUCGGAGUGUAAACCCCUUUCGACCCGGACGAAUGCCCGCAAGGGUUUGACGGUACGGGUAUAAGAAGCCCCGGCUAACUACGUGCCAGCAGCCGCGGUAAAACGUAGGGGGCCAGCGUUGCUCGGAAUUACUGGGCGUAAAGGGUCCGUAGGCGGUGUGGCAAGUCGGAAGUGAAAUCUCUGGGCUUAACCCAGAGGCUGCUCCCGAAACUGCCGUGCUAGAGGAUGAGAGAGGCGAGUGGAAUUGCGGGUGUAGCGGUGAAAUGCGUAGAUAUCCGCAGGAACAUCCGAGGCGAAAGCGGCUCGCUGGAUCAUUUCUGACGCUGAGGGACGAAAGCUAGGGGAGCAAACAGGAUUAGAUACCCUGGUAGUCCUAGCCCUAAACCAUCAGGACUUGGGGUUUGCCCUGUACGGGGCAAGUCCCGUAGCUAACGCGUUAAGUCCUGCGCCUGGGGAGUACGGUCGCAAGGCUG